rnacentral:rRNA from 1 species
UGUCUCAGGACCUAACCGAAUCCUCUUUCGGGAGGGUGACGCCUGUGGAACGAGCGGCGGACGGGUGAGUAACACGUGGGCAACCUGCCUGUAAGACUGGGAUAACCCCGGGAAACCGGGGCUAAUACCGGAUAAUACUUUUCGUUGCAUAACGAGAAGUUGAAAGGCGGCUUUUAGCUGUCACUUACAGAUGGGCCCGCGGCGCAUUAGCUAGUUGGUAAGGUAACGGCUUACCAAGGCGACGAUGCGUAGCCGACCUGAGAGGGUGAUCGGCCACACUGGGACUGAGACACGGCCCAGACUCCUACGGGAGGCAGCAGUAGGGAAUCUUCCGCAAUGGACGAAAGUCUGACGGAGCAACGCCGCGUGAGUGAUGAAGGUUUUCGGAUCGUAAAACUCUGUUGUCAGGGAAGAAUCAAAGGUUGGCCCGGUUUCCGAAAUUAGGGCGGCACCUGGAACGGUAACCUGAACCAGGAAAGCCCCGGGCCUAAACUACCGUGCCAGCAGCCGCGGUAAUACGUAGGGGGCAAGCGUUGUCCGGGAAUUAUUUGGGCGUAAAGCGCGCGCAGGCGGUCCUUUAAGUCUGAUGUGAAAGCCCACGGCUUAACCGUGGAGGGCCAUUGGAAACUGGAGGACUUGAGUACAGAAGAGGAGAGUGGAAUUCCACGUGUAGCGGUGAAAUGCGUAGAGAUGUGGAGGAACACCAGUGGCGAAGGCGACUCUCUGGUCUGUAACUGACGCUGAGGUGCGAAAGCGUGGGGAGCGAACAGGAUUAGAUACCCUGGUAGUCCACGCCGUAAACGAUGAGUGCUAGGUGUUAGGGGGUUUCCGCCCCUUAGUGCUGAAGUUUAACGCAUUAAGCACUCCCGCCCUGGGGGAGUACGGCCGCCAAGGCUGAAACUCAAAAGAAUUUGACCGGGACCCGCACAAGCCGGUGGAAGCAAUGAUGGUUUUUAAAUUUCCGCAGAGGCCAAACGCGAAGAACCUUACCAGGUCUUGACAUCCUCUGCCAAUCCUAGAGAUAGGAUGUUCCCUUCGGGGACAGAGUGACAGGUGGUGCAUGGUUGUCGUCAGCUCGUGUCGUGAGAUGUUGGGUUAAGUCCCGCAACGAGCGCAACCCUUGAUCUUAGUUGCCAGCAUUUAGUUGGGCACUCUAAGGUGACUGCCGGUGACAAACCGGAGGAAGGUGGGGAUGACGUCAAAUCAUCAUGCCCCUUAUGACCUGGGCUACACACGUGCUACAAUGGAUGGAACAAAGGGCAGCGAAGCCGCGAGGUCAAGCAAAUCCCAUAAAACCAUUCUCAGUUCGGAUUGCAGGCUGCAACUCGCCUGCAUGAAGCCGGAAUCGCUAGUAAUCGCGGAUCAGCUGCCGCUGCCCGGCA